UGCCAGACUCCUACGGGAGGCAGCAGUGAGGAAUAUUGGUCAAUGGGCGCGAGCCUGAACCAGCCAAGUCGCGUGAGGGAAGACGGUCCUAUGGAUUGUAAACCUCUUUAGGCGGGGAGCAAUGCCGGGCACGCGUGUCCGGAGGGAGAGUACCCGCAGAAUAAGCAUCGGCUAACUCCGUGCCAGCAGCCGCGGUAAUACGGAGGAUGCGAGCGUUAUCCGGAUUUAUUGGGUUUAAAGGGUGCGUAGGCGGAUUUUUAAGUCAGCGGUAAAAUGUCCGGGCUCAACCCGGGCCGGCCGUUGAAACUGGGGAUCUUGAGUGGGCGAGAAGUAUGCGGAAUGCGUGGUGUAGCGGUGAAAUGCAUAGAUAUCACGCAGAACUCCGAUUGCGAAGGCAGCAUACCGGCGCCCGACUGACGCUGAGGCACGAAAGCGUGGGGAUCGAACAGGAUUAGAUACCCCAGUACUU
rnacentral:rRNA from 1 species